AAUUGAAUUGAAUAGUUUGUUUUCUCUAUUUUGUAAAUUCAUUUACUUUAAUUUUUAUUUUUGUUAUUUUUGAUCUAAAUUCUAAACCCUCCCUCUCUGGAAACCAAAAGAAACCCUAGUUCUCCUCCAUUCCUCAUGGUUUUUAAAAAAUUAUCUAAAAAUUAAUUAUUAAAAUCGACAAAUCUGUUAGGUUUACAAUUCGAAAUUCACAGAUUAGUGCCCUAAUCCAUGUUUCGUGCGUAUGAUUUUUACAGUUUGCUCGGCGAAUCAAUGUUUCGGGGUGUUUCGAUCCAGAUCUGAAAAUGUAUGAUGGAAUUUGAAAAUUGGGUGUUUCGGGUAUUGGUGUUUGGACUGAGGUAUUGUUGAUGGAAAAUAGAAUAGGAAGUUCUCAUGAAGGGGAAAUUCCUAAGAAAUCGAGAUCUUUGGAUCUCAAGAGUCUUUACCAAUCCCAGGAUUCAAAAGAGUCUCAAACUAAGAACUUGAAGAGAAAGGGUGCCUUAGAUAUUACUGUUGUUGAGAAGAAACAUGAGAGGAAGAAGAGCAGAAAAGCAGUAUCCAUCAGUAGUUUUAGAAAAGUCAAUGGCAAUGGCAGUAAGAGUCUAGAGGAAGUGUAUAAUGGCAUUUUGAGCUUAGGAUCACAUGAUUCAAAGGACUCAAAGUCAGGGUUCAAUCAGCGGUUGAGUGAUUGUAGCAAGUUUAGUGGUAUUUCACAAACAUUAGAGGGUAAUUUUAUCAAAAUCCCUAGGCGUAAAAGAGGUUUUGUGGGGCGAAGAAAAGUUGAGAAUGUUCUUCAAGUGUCCAAGCCUGCAGGGCUGUCUAGUGGUGAAGUGGGCAAGGUUGAUCAGGUUGGUAAAUUAAUUAGUAAAGACACAUGCAAGCAGGUUAAGCCUUUGAAGGUUAAACAGAAGAAAGGUUAUGAUGAGUUUAAAGAAAACAUAAAUGGUGGAACCAAUUCAGAUAAGCAUUUAGAGGAAGAAGAUGAGCAUCAUGGUAAUUCAGUUGUAUACAGUGGGGAUUUAUCCGUGAAGAAAUCUCAUACUGGCCAUUCUGUUGGGAAUAAUGGUGAUUCAUCUUCAAAAAAGUCACUGAGGAAGCGAAGUAGGAAAAGGAAGGGUUUGGUGCCUGAUGGUAAGAGCGUUGCUAAGGAGGCUCAGCCAUCAGUCGAUGGUACUGUUAAGUUAAGUGAUGAUUUGUGUGACAAUGAUGAGGAGAACCUCGAAGAGAAUGCAGCAAGGAUGCUAUCAUCACAGUUUGACCCGAGUUGUACUGGCUUUUCUUUGAAUAGCAAAGUCUCUUCCCUGCCAUCUACAAAUGGUUUGUCUUUUUUAUUAUCGUCUGGACAGGAAUUCAAUGCCCAUGGGUCUAACUAUGUCUCAGGAUCUGAAUCUGCUUCUGUUGAUACUGCUGGUAGAGUGUUGAGACCAAGGAAACAGCACAAAGAGAAGGGUAACUCAAGAAAACGGCGCCAUUAUUAUGAAAUUUUCUCUGGGGACGUGGAUGCCUAUUGGGUGUUGAACCGGAGAAUUAAGGUUUAUUGGCCUUUGGACCAGAGUUGGUAUUAUGGCCUCAUCAGUGACUAUGAUAAAUUGAAAAAGCUCCAUCAUGUAAAAUAUGAUGAUCGGGAUGAGGAAUGGAUUAAUCUCCAAAAUGAGAGAUUUAAACUCUUGCUGCUUCCAAGUGAAGUUCCAGGUAAGCCUCAGAGAAGAAGAUCUGUGGCAAGAGAGAAGCGAUCUAAUGGGGAAAAGGGAAAAUUGAAGCAGAGUAAAGAGAAGAGGAGAGACUUGGCUGCAGAGGAUGAUAAUUAUAUGGGGAACUACGUGGACUCAGAGCCUAUCAUCUCAUGGUUGGCUCGUUCUUCUCAUAGAGUCGAAUAUUCCCCACUCCGUGCCUUGAAGAAACAGAAAAUUUCAGGUCUUUCUCUGACCUCAGUGCUGCCGACAUUGACUGAUGAUGGUGUCAGUAGACAUGAUUGUUUGGAUGGGCUUUCAUGGAACAAGGAUACAAGCAAUUUAUCUGGUAAUUCUGUCUUGCCAGACAGAUUUGCUGCUGGUGGAAUGAUUGAGGUAUCUCCCAUGGAAAGCCCCUUUAAUCCAAAAGAUAACAAGCUUCCAGUUGUUUACUAUAGGAGGCGAUUUCGCAAUACAAGCAGUGUGUCGCGUUAUUCAUUUGAAGGAAAUCUUGUUUCCUCUAGUCUACCAGAAUCUGAUACUUCUCUCGGUGCUGUUGGUGUUGCUUCUCAACCUUUGGAAAAACAAGAUACUUCCCUCGACAGAUUGGAUCCUGAUAGGGCUUUGGAGAAGUUGGAUACUGUUGAGGUUUUAUGGUUGACUGAUGUUACAGGCCUUCUAAAAUUAAAUGUUCAGUUCUUGGAAUCAAGACGGUUCAGGUUUGAGUUAAGUUUUGCAGUGCUUUCUUUCUUCAAGUACUCAUUUGGCAUGGUUCACACUCAGUUCUUUCAUGCGUUAUUGCUGCUUCAGCAUGGUACGCUGAUGACUAUGUGGCCAAGGGUUCAUCUGGAGAUGCUUUUUGUUGAUAAUAUAGUUGGAUUGAGAUUUCUCUUGUUUGAAGGUUGCUUGAAGCAAGCCAUAGGAUUUGUUUUUGAGGUCCUGGCUGUAUUUAAUCAACCUACUGAGUGCGGGAAAUUUGCUGACUUGCAGUUGCCAGUUACUUCGAUAAAAUUUAAAUUUUCUUGCAUCCAAGAUUUCAAGAAGCAGCUUGUGUUUGCAUUCUACAACUUCGCUAAGGUGAAAAGUUCAAAAUGGAUGGAUCUGGACUCUAAGUUCAAAAGGCAUUGUUUGCUUACUAAGCAGCUACCUCUAUCAGAAUGUACUUAUGAUAACAUUAAGGCGCUUCAAAAUGGAACCAGUCAGUUACUCGGUUCUUCUGGUUGCAGUGAUUCCUCAAGAAUUAAGGGGCCAAUAAGGAGGUCUAGGCAGUGUAUAAGCCUUGUUGGUGUCUCCAGAGAAUCCAAUUAUGUAAAUGCCAGUCCAUCUUCUAAUUCUGACAAGUCUCUCAGAUGGUUCCCUCCAUUUGCGCUUUCUUUUACUGCUGCACCUACUUUCUUUCUGGGUUUGCAUCUUAAGCUGCUUAUGGAACAUAGGGUGACUCACAUCAGCUUUCAGGAUCAUGUCUCAAUAGAGCAUCCUAAGAACUCUGGUAGUUUGCAGGCAGAUGACUGUUCUAGCGUAGAGGACUACUCCAACAAAUGUUCAGAAGGCAUUCCUGAUAACAAUUGCAAGGCUUCUUCCAGGGAUGCUGAUUGUGGUAGAUGUCUUUCUUGUUCUAAAACUGUGCCGCAAGCAGUUGACAUUUCCGUUGCCAGUGUUGGAGAUUGGAUGAAGUCCUCUCUAAAUUAUCAUAAUGAUUAUGUAAAUGUUGAAACUUCUGCCAUCUCCAAGGAUCCUGGAAAAUUGGGAACUGAUGCUGUUGCCUCACUGCAAAAGUGUCAAUUGCACCUUACAGAUUCAGAACAACGUGACUUGUCACAAAAGCUUUUAGUUGACCGAGAUAAGUCUGGUGCAUGUUCUCAUUCUCUUCUGAAUGGUAUUGCUGUUGAAGUUCCAUCAUUCAAUCAAUUUGAUGAGCAUGUUGAUAAGGAAUUACAUGGCGCUCAACAAUCUACAGAUUUGUCUUGGAAUAUGAAUGGUGGUGUUAUCCCCAGUCCAAACCCUACUGCUCGCAGGAGUACCUGGUACCGAAAUAGAAGUAGUUCUACAUCGUUUGGACACUCUGCGCAUGGAUGGUCAGAUGGAAGAGGUGACUUUCUCCAGAAUAAUUUUGGUUAUGGAACUAAGAAGCCACGUACACAGGUCUCUUAUGCUUUGCCUUUUGGAGGUUUUGACUACAGUUCAAAGAAUAAAAGCCAUUCACAGAAAGCGCUUCCAUAUAAACGAAUUAGGACAGCAAAUGAGAAGAGGCCAUCAGAUGUUUCUAGAUGUUCUGAAAGAAACUUAGAGUUGUUUUCUUGUGAAGCAAAUGUCUUAAUUACACUUGGUGACAGAGGUUGGAGGGAAUGUGGGGCACAGGUUGUAUUAGAGCUUUUUGAUCAUAAUGAGUGGAGGCUUGCUGUGAAAAUUUUGGGGAUUAUAAAGUAUUCGUACAAGGCACAUCAAUUUCUGCAGCCUGGGUCGACAAACCGGUUUACACAUGCUAUGAUGUGGAAAGGAGGAAAGGAUUGGAUACUGGAGUUUCCUGAUAGGAGUCAAUGGGCUUGUUUCAAAGAGAUGCAUGAAGAGUGCUACAAUCGGAAUGUCCGUGCUGCAUCAAUUAAAAAUGUUCCUAUUCCUGGCGUUCGCCUGGUAGAGGAAAAUGAUGACAAUGUUAUUGAAGUUCCAUUCGUUCGAAGUUCGUCUAAGUACUUUCGGCAGGUUGAAACUGAUAUUGAGAUGGCUUUGGACCGGUCAAGGGUGCUAUACAACAUGGAUAGUGAUGAUGAGCAGUGGAUGUUGAAAAAUCAAACUUCUUCUGAACUUACCAACAGCAGCUUAUGGGAGAUCUCUGAGGAAAUGUUUGAGAAGACAAUGGACAUGUUUGAGAAGGCUGCAUAUUCUCAACAACGUGACCAAUUUACAUCUGAUGAAAUAGAGGAUCUCAUGGCUGGACUGGGCCCAAAGAAAGCAGUCAAAAUUAUCCAUGAGUAUUGGCAGCAGAAGAGGCAGAAGAAGGGAAUGCCUUUAAUCCGUCAUCUACAGCCACCACUAUGGGAGAGGUAUCAGCAACAGGUGAGGGAAUGGGAUAUAGCAAUUGCAAAAAGUAACACUGCCCUCCCUAAUGGAUGCCAUGAGAAGGUUGCACAUGUUGAAAAGCCUCCUGCCAUGUUUGCUUUCUGCUUGAAACCACGGGGGUUGGAAGUGCCCAACAAGGGAUCUAAACAGAGGUCACAUAGGAAAAGCAAUAUCUUCUCAGGAGAUCAUGAUGUUUUCCAUGCUUAUGGUAAAGGAAGAAGAUUAAAUGGAUUUGGUUCUGGGGAUGAAAGGGUUGUAUAUCAAGGUCAUAACCAUGAACCUUUAGAUGAUUCUGCAUUGCCUCAAAUGUCACCAAGUGUAUUUUCACAUUGGGAUGUAGGCGGCAAAGGAAAUUUCUUAAUGAGUGGUGAUAGGUAUGAUAGGAAUCACGUGCAGAAACCUUACAGGAGCAAGUCAAGGAAGCCUGGGGCAUUUAUCUUUCCCAAUGAUACUCAGAUGGUUGCUUCUCGGUGGAAUAUAGGCUUUUCUGAGUGGCCAAGCCAGCGCCAUUAUCGCUUAGAUGGGUCCCCAAGCCAUGGCCCUGAACAUUUUGAUAGUUCAGAUUUUGGUGAGUUAAGGUUGCGUGAUUCUUCUGGUGCAGCACAGCGUGUACUUAAUAUGGCUAAACUCAAGAGAGAAAAGGCUCAGAGAUUGCUUUAUAGGGCAGAUCUAGCCAUUCACAAGGCAGUGGUUGCCCUCAUAACUGCUGAGGCGAUCCAAGCUUCUUCUGAGGACUUAAAUGGUGAUGGAUAGAAUAAGAAAAGAAAGAUGAGAUGAAAGGGUAGGAAAUGUGCCAGCCCUUCAGCAUUGGGUUUAUGCAGCCAAAUAACCCAGUUAUAGAAUUAUGAUUUUUUUGGCUGGAGCAGUGUGGUGUUUCCUUACUCAGUGGUGGGGGCCUUUUUGUCCUUUGCCAUUGAUUCAAGAGGGCAAAAACAGGAGGGUUAUGGCAGGUGGAGGGGAGAACUUUUUUUUCUUCUGCCACUUUAUGUCAUUGUCAUGGCAGUUUUGAUGUGACCACAGUUUUUCUGCCCACUAGGUAUUUCAUGGCAGCAGCAGGUCCGCUGACCCUGCAGAUUCAUUGGAGGCUCAGAAUAUGUUAUCUUCUUCUCGAUUCAUAUUCUUGGUGAUAUUUAGUAGCCUCAGGCGGUAGAUAGAUUUGGAGAAAUUUGUGAGCUGUGACUUUCUGCUUGGUUGCAUGGAAAACAUAAGUAACCAGGUCAAAGAUUAUCCAUCGUGGAUAUGACUUUAAAACUUCACAGCGCUAUUGGAGUUGCAGUUUUUGUCAGAUCAAUCAGUAAUUUUCUUCUUGGAGUAGCAAUUUAACUUGUUCGCAGUGUAAUUGAAUAAUCUCUCUUUGGUACCCAUUCGCUGGGUCAAGAUUACAAAACUGCAGCUCGAAUAGCCCUGUAAGCAAAUAUAGUUUAUCUUCAAAAUUUGAUCGAGGUGGUCUCUCUUUGCUUUCUUUGCAAUGUAAUUUGAUCGCGGGUAAUAUACUACUUUUUUUUAUAAGGGUAACUUGAUAAUUACAUCUUGUUUAACCUUGUUAAACACCCUAUAAGAUUUAUAAGCCUGCAUGGUGUUCAGAAGAAAUCAUGAAUUGGAUCGAUAAAUGUAUAUUGAGUAAGAAUAUGCAAGUUCUGUCCAA